GGCAUAAGCCAGCUUGACUGCGAGCGUGACGGCGCGAGCAGGUGCGAAAGCAGGUCAUAGUGAUCCGGUGGUUCUGAAUGGAAGGGCCAUCGCUCAACGGAUAAAAGGUACUCCGGGGAUAACAGGCUGAUACCGCCCAAGAGUUCAUAUCGACGGCGGUGUUUGGCACCUCGAUGUCGGCUCAUCACAUCCUGGGGCUGAAGUAGGUCCCAAGGGUAUGGCUGUUCGCCAUUUAAAGUGGUACGCGAGCUGGGUUUAGAACGUCGUGAGACAGUUCGGUCCCUAUCUGCCGUGGGCGCUGGAGAACUGAGGGGGGCUGCUCCUAGUACGAGAGGACCGGAGUGGACGCAUCACUGGUGUUCGGGUUGUCAUGCCAAUGGCACUGCCCGGUAGCUAAAUGCGGAAGAGAUAAGUGCUGAAAGCAUCUAAGCACGAAACUUGCC
rnacentral:rRNA from 1 species